UCUUGAUUUUUUAUUGCUUGGUCUCGGAUAUGAGUGUUAAUUAGAAGCAUUUUUUUUUAUAAAGUUAAUAUAAUAAUCUAUCAACUUGUCCUUGGAUUGUAAUUUUUAGUUGGAGUUAAGACUCGAUUUGAUUGGGUAUGUGCUCACUACUGUUGGCUUGUGUGAGUCCAUCACAGUAUCAAAGACCUGAUACGUGACCAGGUCUCUAGGCAAAAACACCAAAAGCACAAUGCAGACUACACAGUGACAAGGACUUGAUUUGAUACUGUCUUUGUAUGAGGAAGAAAAAGAACAAUCAAGAACUUAAUAGGAAAUGACAAUAAGGUAAAGACACAAUAUGUUACGUGGAAACUACUUGCUCAAGGGAGAAAACUCAUAAUCUACCCAGUAAGAUUUCACCAACAAAUAUCACCAAAACAAGAACAACGGCAAGAUUACAAACUCUUUCUCUCGUAAUCACAUGGUUAAUAUCUUAUCUCCAUCCCCUUGAGCUAAUGAUACCACUGAUUCAUAAUAUAGUAUGACAAUUAUAGCCUACAAUCAACUAACUUUAAUUGACACACCUUGGCCAACU
rnacentral:lncRNA from 1 species